rnacentral:rRNA from 1 species
AUACGGAGGAUGCAAGCGUUAUCCGGAUUUAUUGGGUUUAAAGGGUGCGUAGGCGGUUUGCUAAGCGGGAGGUGAAAUGCCGGGGCUCAACGUCGGAAGUGCCUCCCGAACUGGUGGACUGGAAUGACUCUGCCGUGGGAGGAAUGUGUAGUGUAGCGGUGAAAUGCUUAGAGAUUACACAGAACACCGAUUGCGAAGGCAUCUGACGAACUGCCCACUGACGCUGAGGCACGAAAGCGUGGGGAUCAAACAGGAUUAGAUACCCUGGUAGUCCACGCAGUAAACGAUGAUGACUAACUGCCGGCCCGUUGCGGGUCGGUGGCCAAGCGAAAGCGAUAAGUCAUCCACCUGGGGAGUACGACCGCAAGGUUGAAACUCAAAGGAAUUGACGGGG